AUGCUCGCUUCGGCAGCACAUAUACUAAAAUUGAAACCAGAAAGAGAAGAUUAGCAUGACCCCUGCACAAGAAUGACACACAAAUUCGUGAAGGGUUCCAUAUUUAA
rnacentral:snRNA from 1 species